rnacentral:lncRNA from 10 species
GUUUUGACCCCCAUGCCCCACUCCUUGCCAUAUCCCAGGAUGUUCUAUGUGAGGGCUGAGCAAGAUGCAGCAGGCACUGGGGAGAACCCCUCAGCAUACACAGGAAAUGGCCACCACAGCUAUGGCUGAAGUCGCAUAAAGGGUCUCAGAUCUACAACACCUGAACACCUCCCCUGAGGAAGCCUCAAGUUCAGUGCUAGCUCUGCAGUCAACAUCAACCUAAAAUAUUACUACAGACAGAAAUCGUUCUGGAUCAAAAUUCUGAUCUUCUUUCCACUUUUUCAGACUCAUCAGAAGAGGUGUCUAAGAAGAUGCACAAAAAAAUUUGCAAGUGGACCAUUAUUGCCUGAGGGUCUAAAGUUUUACCAGAUUCUUUUUACAAUGAAGUAUAUAUAGUGUACAUGCUUGGGGAAAAUGCUGGGUCUUAAACCCAACCUCUAUUAACACGAUUAUUGCUCAUUAAUCAUGGCUGAAAAAUCUGGCAUCAAGAAUCACCGAGAUCCUAGCUACUCAAAGUGUAAUCCCUGGAUCAACAGCAUCAGCAGCAUCUGAGAGCUUGUUGGAGAUGCAGAAUCUCAGGCAGACCUACUGAACCAAAAAAAAAAAAAAAAUCUCAUUUUAACAAGACCCACAGGGGAUUGAAAUUUUCCUUCCACAUUUGAGAAGCACUGCUCUAGAUCCUCUCUCUUGAGGAGGUCAUUUACGUCAGGUUCUAUUCUUAAUAGGAAACAGGUUGAGAAAUAAAAACCUCAACAGGGCUACAAAUACGAACCCAGAAAAUGUGAAGUUUUUAGUGAAUGUUGAAAACAAGGCAGCAAAAUGGCUGUUUAUUAAACCUAAUAUAUUCUGUACUGAGAUCAAAAGGCAGGUGUUACAAGGACCAUAGCUCUAAUUAUGAAGUUGGCUAUUUCAACACGACCAGCCACUGAACACUACACGCUUCCCCUUCGUGCUUUUAGUCUUUCCCAUAAAUGCCACAUGGUUCUUUUGGCAGAAUUAGCUCCCAGAUUUGCAGUGGGAAUUAGACAAGAACAUUUUCUCCUUCCUUUCCUUUGAGAUGCAGGGAUGGGGGCUAGAGCAGGCAGCAGGGAGCACUUCUGAGGCCAGGAGUAAGCAAAACUAAAACCAGAGAAGGGGUGCCAAGAUAUGAAUGCCAGAGGGAACAUAAGGGCACAAAACUGCAAGAGGGGGAAGGAGGGUGACACAUUGCCAGGUGCCUGGGACCAGAGACGCACCAAGUGGUAGGGUCUUUUUAAAAUUUUAUUUCUUAGAAUGUAUUUUUAAUUAACAAAUAAAACUUAUAUUUAUGGUAUCUAACAUGAUGUUUUGGAAUAGGUAGACACUGUGCAAUGGCUAAAUCCAGCUAAUUAACAUAUGCAUUGCCUCACAUUUUUAUUUUUUUGUGCUGAGAACACUUAAAAUCUACUCUUAGCGAUUUUCAAGAACAUAAUACAUUGUUAUUAAUUAUAGUCACUGUGUUGUACAAUAGAUCUCUUGAAUUUAUUCACCCUGUCUAAGUGAAAUUUUGUAUCCUUUGACCACCCCUCUCCCAGUGCCCAGGCAACCAGCAUUCCGCUGUCUGCUUCCAUGUGUUACACUUUUUUAGCUUCCAUGUAUAUGAGUGAGAUCAUGUGGGAUUUGCCUUUCUGUUUUUGGCUUAUUUCACUUAGCAAAUGUCCUCCAGGUUCACGCAUGUUGUCACAAAUGACAGAACUUCUUCUCUUUUUAAGGCUGAGUAGUAUUCCAUUGUGUAUAUAUACCACAUUUUCUUUAUCAGCUCAUCUGUUGAUAGACAUUUAGGUUGAUUCCAUAUCUUGACUGUUGUGAAUAGUGCUGCAACAAACAUGAGAGGGGGUGCAGAUAUCUCUUUGACAUACCGAUUUCAUUUCCUUUGUAUCUAUACUGAGCAGUGGG